rnacentral:rRNA from 1 species
UACGGAGGGUGCAAGCGUUAUCCGGAUUUAUUGGGUUUAAAGGGUCCGCAGGCGGACUAUUAAGUCAGUGGUGAAAGCCCACAGCUCAACUGUGGAAUUGCCAUUGAUACUGGUAGUCUUGAGUGCGUAUGAAGUUGGCGGAAUGUGUGGUGUAGCGGUGAAAUGCUUAGAUAUCACACAGAACACCGAUUGCGAAGGCAGCUGACUAAUACGUUACUGACGCUCAGGGACGAAAGUGUGGGGAUCAAACAGG